AGCUGAGUUUGAUCCUGGCUCAGAACGAACGCUGGCGGCGUGCUUAACACAUGCAAGUCGAACGCGAAAGGGACUUCGGUCCUGAGUAAAGUGGCGCACGGGUGAGUAACGCGUAGAUAACCUGUCUUCACGUCUGGAAUAAUACGCCGAAAGGGGUACUAAUACCGGAUAUUCUUGCUUUUCAUAAGUUUUUGCAAGGAAAGGUGGCCUCUGAAUAUGCUACUGCGCGAAGAGGGGUCUGCGUACCAUUAGCUAGUAGGUGGGGUAAUGGCCUACCUAGGCUACGAUGGUUAGCGGGUCUGAGAGGUCAAGU
rnacentral:rRNA from 1 species